GACGAACGCUGGCGGCGUGCUUAACACAUGCAAGUCGAACGGAAAGGCCCUGCUUUUGUGGGGUGCUCGAGUGGCGAACGGGUGAGUAACACGUGAGUAACCUGCCCUUGACUUUGGGAUAACUUCAGGAAAUUGGGGCUAAUACCGGAUAGGAGCUCCUGCUGCAUGGUGGGGGUUGGAAAGUUUCGGCGGUUGGGGAUGGACUCGCGGCUUAUCAGCUUGUUGGUGGGGUAGUGGCUUACCAAGGCUUUGACGGGUAGCCGGCCUGAGAGGGUGACCGGCCACAUUGGGACUGAGAUACGGCCCAGACUCCUACGAGAGGCAGCAGUGGGGAAUAUUGCACAAUGGGCGGAAGCCUGAUGCAGCAACGCCGCGUGCGGGAUGACGGCCUUCGGGUUGUAAACCGCUUUCGCCUGUGACGAAGCGUGAGUGACGGUAAUGGGUAAAGAAGCACCGGCUAACUACGUG
rnacentral:rRNA from 1 species